rnacentral:rRNA from 1 species
CCUACGGGUGGCUGCAGUCGAGGAUCUUCGGCAAUGGGCGCAAGCCUGACCGAGCGACGCCGCGUGCGGGAUGAAGGCCUUCGGGUUGUAAACCGCUGUCAGAGGGGAUGAAAUGCCGGGCGGUUCUCCUUUCGGUUUGACAGAUCCUCAGAGGAAGGACGGGCUAAGUUCGUGCCAGCAGCCGCGGUAAGACGAACCGUCCAACCGUUAUUCGGAAUCACUGGGCAUAAGGGGUGGGUAGGCGGCGCGGAAAUCCCGCGGCUCAACCGAGGAAUUGCGCUGCAAACUACCGUGCUUGAGGGAGACAGAGGUGAGUGGAACUUAGGGUGGAGCGGUGAAAUGCGUUGAUAUCCUAAGGAACACCAGUGGCGAAAGCGACUCACUGGGUCUCUUCUGACGCUGAGGCACGAAAGCUAGGGUAGCGAACGGGAUUAGAUACCCUAGUAGUC